rnacentral:snoRNA from 1 species
UACUUCUUGUACAAGCACUGUGCUAAAACUAUGGAAGUUGAGGUUGUACCUUGGCUUCUGUAAUAAUGCUAGCAUGGUACACACAAGAAGAAUAGGAAAUGCACUGGAUCGGUAAAAGGCUUGGGUUGGACCUCUUUCUUAAUGUCCAGUGUCCUAGUCUGGAGGCUUGGUGCAACACUA